GACGAACGCUGGCGGCGUGCUUAACACAUGCAAGUCGAACGGAAAGGCCCUGCUUUUGUGGGGUGCUCGAGUGGCGAACGGGUGAGUAACACGUGAGUAACCUGCCCUUGACUUUGGGAUAACUUCAGGAAACUGGGGCUAAUACCGGAUAGGAGCUCCUGCUGCAUGGUGGGGGUUGGAAAGUUUCGGCGGUUGGGGAUGGACUCGCGGCUUAUCAGCUUGUUGGUGGGGUAGUGGCUUACCAAGGCUUUGACGGGUAGCCGGCCUGAGAGGGUGACCGGCCACAUUGGGACUGAGAUACGGCCCAGACUCCUACGGGAGGCAGCAGUGGGGAAUAUUGUACAAUGGGCGGAAGCCUGAUGCAGCAACGCCGCGUGCGGGAUGACGGCCUUCGGGUUGUAAACCGCUUUCGCCUGUGACGAAGCGUGAGUGACGGUAAUGGGGAAAGAAACACCGGCUAACUACGU
rnacentral:rRNA from 1 species